CUUGCAGGCUACCCUGUGGGGGCAGAGUUUGCCGAAUCCUAACGGCGGCGAUAUCUUUCGCAGCAGAGUGACAACGUCAAGGUGCUUUAUGCGGCCCUUAGCGUCCGGAUCGUACUCGGACCAGAGUCUGAUGAAUUCGUCGAGAUGGUGAGGACCGAGGAUCGACCAAUCCCUCGUCAAGUAGUCGAAGUUGUCCAUGAUUACGGCGACGAACAAGACUAUGAUCAGCCAAUAGAACACCUGAGAUUUCACCGCCUUCCUGCAAGCCCUCCGCAUCCGCCGGUUCAC
rnacentral:misc_RNA from 1 species